GACGAACGCUGGCGGCGUGCUUAACACAUGCAAGUCGAACGGAAAGGCCCCUUUGGGGGUACUCGAGUGGCGAACGGGUGAGUAACACGUGAGUAACCUGCCCUUGACUUCGGGAUAACUUCAGUAAACUGGGGCUAAUACCGGAUAGGAAUCCUUGCUGCAUGGUGGGGGUUGGAAAGCUUCGGCGGUUUUGGAUGGACUCGCGGCUUAUCAGCUUGUUGGUGGGGUAGUGGCUUACCAAGGCUUUGACGGGUAGCCGGCCUGAGAGGGCGACCGGCCACAUUGGGACUGAGAUACGGCCCAGACUCCUACGGGAGGCAGCAGUGGGGAAUAUUGCACAAUGGGCGGAAGCCUGAUGCAGCAACGCCGCGUGCGGGAUGACGGCCUUCGGGUUGUAAACCGCUUUCAGCAGGGGCGAAGCUUGUGGUGACGGUACCUGCAGAAGAAGCACCGGCUAACUACGUG
rnacentral:rRNA from 1 species